AACCGGAUUAGAUACCCUGGUAGUCCACGCUGUAAACGAUGUCGAUUUGGAGGUUGUGCCCUUGAGGCGUGGCUUCCGGAGCUAACGCGUUAAAUCGACCGCCUGGGGAGUACGGCCGCAAGGUUAAAACUCAAAUGAAUUGACGGGGGCCCGCACAAGCGGUGGAGCAUGUGGUUUAAUUCGAUGCAACGCGAAGAACCUUACCUACUCUUGACAUCCAGAGAACUUUCCAGAGAUGGAUUGGUGCCUUCGGGAACCCUGAGACAGGUGCUGCAUGGCUGUCGUCAGCUCGUGUUGUGAAAUGUUGGGUUAAGUCCCGCAACGAGCGCAACCCUUAUCCUUUGUUGCCAGCGGUUCGGCCGGGAACUCAAAGGAGACUGCCAGUGAUAAACUGGAGGAAGGUGGGGAUGACGUCAAGUCAUCAUGGCCCUUACGAGUAGGGCUACACACGUGCUACAAUGGCGUAUACAAAGAGAAGCGACCUCGCGAGAGCAAGCGGACCUCAUAAAGUACGUCGUAGUCCGGAUUGGAGUCUGCAACUCGACUCCAUGAAGUCGGAAUCGCUAGUAAUCGUAGAUCAGAAUGCUACGGUGAAUACGUUCCCGGGCCUUGUACACACCGCCCGUCACACCAUGGGAGUGGGUUGCAAAAGAAGUAGUAGCUUAACCCUUCGGGAGGGCGCUUACCACUUUGUGAUUCAUGACUGGGGUGAAGUCGUAACAA
rnacentral:rRNA from 1 species